AACGAACGCUGGCGGCAUGCCUAACACAUGCAAGUCGAACGAGACCUUCGGGUCUAGUGGCGCACGGGUGCGUAACGCGUGGGAACCUGCCCUUAGGUUCGGAAUAACUCCCCGAAAGGGGUGCUAAUACCGGAUAAUGUCUUCGGACCAAAGAUUUAUCGCCUUUGGAUGGGCCCGCGUUGGAUUAGCUAGUUGGUAGGGUAAAAGCCUACCAAGGCGACGAUCCAUAGCUGGUCUGAGAGGAUGAUCAGCCACACUGGGACUGAGACACGGCCCAGACUCCUACGGGAGGCAGCAGUGGGGAAUAUUGGACAAUGGGCGAAAGCCGGAUCCAGCAAUGCCGCGGGAGUGAUGAAGGCCUUAGGGUUGUAAAGCUCUUUUACCCGGGAUGAUAAUGACAGUACCGGGAGAAUAAGCUCCGGCUAACUCCGG
rnacentral:rRNA from 1 species